rnacentral:rRNA from 1 species
ACUCGACUAUAUGAAGCUGGAAUCGCUAGUAAUCGUAGAUCAGCAUGCUACGGUGAAUACGUUCCCGGGUCUUGUACACACCGCCCGUCACACCACGAGAGUUUGUAACACCCGAAGCCGGUGGAGUAACCAUUUGGAGCUAGCCGUCGAAGGUGGGACAAAUGAUUGGGGUGAAGUCGUAACAAGGUAGCCGUAUCGGAAGGUGCGGCUGGAUCACCUCCUUUCUAAGGA